rnacentral:tRNA from 1 species
GGAAUGUAGCUCAGUGGCAGAGCACUUGCUUAGCAUGUGUGAGGCACUGGGUUCAAUCCUCAGCACCA